rnacentral:rRNA from 1 species
UUUAACUGAAGAGUUUGAUCAUGGCUCAGAUUGAACGCUGGCGGCAGGCUUAACACAUGCAAGUCGAGCGGGGGAAGGUAGCUUGCUACCGGACCUAGCGGCGGACGGGGUGAGUAAUGCUUAGGAAUCUGCCUAUUAGU